CCGUUAAGCAGCUUUCUUCCAAAUCAAAGCAAGGGAAUCGUGAAUUUGUUAAUGAGAUUGGCAUGAUUUCUGCUCUGCAACACCGUCAUCUUGUCAAGCUCCACGGAUGUUGUAUUGAAGGAAAUCAACUAUUGCUUGUCUAUGAGUACCUGGAAAAUAAUAGCGUUGCUCAUGCUUUGUUUAGUAAAUAUCAGUCUCGUUUGCAAAAGUUCAUUUCAUUCAUAAAGUGGGCAGAAAAGAUCUUAUGCACUAAAAAUAUGUCCCUUACAACUAACUUUGUUUAAUUUGGCAAAUUGAAGGGGCAAACGAAAGUCAUUUGAAGUUGGAUUGGCCAACAAGGCACAAGAUUUGUAUUGGUACAGCAAGAGGUUUGGCUUUUCUUCAUGAGGAAUCAACAUUGAAGGUCGUUCAUAGAGACAUCAAGGCUACUAAUGUUUUGCUUGAUAAAAAUCUUAACCCGAAAAUAUCUGACUUUGGAUUGGCCAAGCUUGAUGAAGAGGAUAAUACACACAUUAGCACCCGUAUUGCUGGAACUUAGUGAGUCCCUAAACUUUUAUUUAUGUUCUUAUUCUCUUGUUUUGAUCUUCUUCCACCCUUAAAAAAGAAGAUAGAGCAACGGAAAGUCUCUAACUUACAUAAAUUUUAACCUCAAAAAAUCUUUGUUGUUUAAGAAAUUUCAAGGGCAGAUUUGUUCUUUCAAUAUAGUUGUAUUACUGUGUAUCUCUCUAACUAUUGGAUUAAUCUUAAGUAUUCAAUUAGCAAUAUUUUUCCUGGUUAUUUUAGCUAAAUCUGGGUUAAUGAUAUGAUUUCAUAUUAUUGCAGUGGAUAUAUGGCGCCCGAAUAUGCAAUGCGGGGUUAUCUGACUCAUAAAGCAGAUGUCUAUAGUUUUGGUAUUCUCAUAUUGGAAAUUGUUAGCGGGAGAAAAAACACAACUUACCGGAAAAAGGAAGCAAGCUUUUAUAUUCUUGAUUGGGUAACAUGAAUCUACUUCUUAAUUUAACUUCAAUUUUCUCAAUAUACCUUAUAUGUGAUAAAGUAUGUUUGAAUCUGUGAAGUUUAAUCCAAAGACAGAGUUUAUAUUGCUUUUGUUUCUUCCAUUUUUUGUAGGCACGACAUCUAAAAGAGCAAGGGAAUUUGAUGGACCUAGUUGAUCCAAGGUUGGGAUCAGACUUUAACAAAGAGGAGAUGAUUGUUGCAAUUAAUGUGGCUCUUCUUUGUUGUAAUGUUACUUCGACAGUUAGGCCUACCAUGUCUUCGGUUGUGAGCAUGCUCGAAGGAAAGGCUGUUGUUCAGGAGUUGGUCUCGGAUCCAAAUGCCGAGAGGAUUGAGAUCGAUGCAAUGAGGAAACAUUUUCAAUCUAGUUUUGGAAGGGGCACGGGCGAGAAACAGAUAGAAACGGGGUCAACUGAAGGGCCAUGGACUGCUUCGUCUGCGUCUACUCACGAUCUGUAUCCCGUCAAUCCUGAUUCAGAUUACUGGGAGAACAGAAGCGAGAGAACUUGAGCUGCAUGGUUAUCAGUUUGACUCCACCUUAGCACACUCAAACAUAUCAGCUAAUAAAUCAUUUGCAUUUCCUCUAAACUAUUUUCUUUUUUCUGUUUGAUAAUAUAGUAGAAAGCAGAACUGAAGAAGUUUCUACAGCAUGGUGAUUAUAAAUUGUGAAAUCAGCUCUUUUCGGUAUUUGGUAGUAUGAUAAAAUGAUUUUCUUUUCGAAUAAUAAAUUUAUGCUUCAAUACCUAGAUUGGAUCAAUUGUUUCGAUCAACUUCCUUCAAAAUAAAAAUCAUAAUCUGGGCUGCUAAGUUUGCAACAUAGGGCAGAGUUUUAGUCGAAGGAAAAUGGAAUACGUUACUUGGCAGCUAAAUUUGGUAUUUGAAUGUUUUUGUGCUUAUACUGCUAAGUAUAAAAUAAUGGCUCAUGCUGUUACUAAAAUAAAAAACGGGUAUCAUAAAAAGCUUCCAGCUUCAUAAUUUUAUUAUCACAAAUCAUCACUAACGUUUUAAAAAGUCAGCUAAGUUCAGGCAAGUUUCAUUGUAUUACAAAUACAAAAGUUGUAAAGGAAGGGAAUAGAGUAAGUUGGUUGAACACUAUACUAUUUUGGCUAUGUGGUUGUUUGUGAAGAGAGUAGGUAAUGUACACCAAAAUUGAAAAGGAGGGGAAUACAGCAAGUUGGUUGAGAGAAGGAACUUAAUUUAGUAAAAUCGGAAAUCAUUUACGGAGGAUUUUCUACAAAAAAUAUAUAGCUAAUAUAUAAGGUAUGCAAGAUUCAAAGAAUGUGCACGAAAAGAAAAAUGAUACGUGACAUAAAUCAUUCCUAAAAGAUAAACAAAUUGCCAAGUUUUCUAAAAAUUAGUUCUGGAAGUUCUGGAAUUUACUGCAAUUGGAUUGAUUUUGAUUGUUGUAGAAUAUAGGUAUAUAGAAUUACAAGAAUCCCUACUACAUAGCCAAUUGGUACAAAGUAAUUAAGUAAUCAGCCCGUGAUGCUCUCCCUUAUUAAAAACGCCCAACUUGCCUAAUAGAGAUUUAAAACGUUCCUUUCCCAAAGCUUUAGUGAAAACUAGAAAUAUGGCCCGCGCACUACUGCGGGAUUAGAAACCAUGUUUCAAAGCUAUAAGAAAUUGUUGCAGAAUUUAAUGUUAUUUACAUUGAAAGAUGUUUGAGCUUUUUGAAAGAUGAGUAUUUUCAUCCUUGACCAACCAAAUAAUGGACGAGAAGGAAUUUCAAUUUCUCCCCUUCUUUUUCCCCUCCUUGCAGACUAUACACACCAUUCAGCAAGCAAUCCACAUAUUUAAUUCCUCUUGUAGCCAUAUCUUGUAACCCAAUUAUAUACAGUUUAUAAUUUAAAGGAAAACUAACGAAAAGUCCAAAAAAACUUCAAUUUUAAUUAAAAACUUUUUUUAAAGGUAUAGUGAAUAGUACCAGGGAAAGGUAUAAAUGUGGUUUUUCGUUAAAAGUGAACAGUACCGAGAGUAUUUUGUUAAAACUCCCUUUAUUUAAUAAUGCAGUCUUCUUCCAAGAAUAAGGUCCAAAUACGCAAUCGGUUCCACCCAGCAUGUCUAUAUUUCUAUUGAACAGAACAAUCUGCAAUACACUUACUCCCAUUCUAAAUCUGUAUAACUUACUGGGGUAAAAAGACAAUUCCCUUGCAAGAGCCAAAACACUAUGUUUGCUACUACUUAACUUAAAUACUUACCCAACAACAAUAACAAUAAAAAUUAGCACAGAAAGCAUAGAUCCGUAAAACACGAAGUACAUACCACAAGCAAUGAAUGACAACCUCAAAAGCUGAUGUUUCUUCUAUCCCACAUAUAGCACCAAGAAGUGCAGCAUCCCUAUGAAACAUAGCUCCCAGUAAUGGUCAAGAAGAACAAUAACACAUAAAAUAAUGAAAGAACAGAAUCAGAUGGUGGAAGCCAAUACCGAACCGAAUAUAAUUAAAAUUACACAUUAAAAAUAGCUCCCUGUACUUGUUCGCUUGCUGCCACCUCUUCCUCCUACAUUAUACACAUAAAAAUUACAUGGGAUGCUGUAAUUUUAUUGUUUUCAGUUUAAUUACUUUUCUUAUCAUAUCCUUGUUGGAAUAUAAUACGUGUUUCAUAGCGCUUUGUGACUUGAUCGCAUAUGAUCUUAUGCUCCACGACCUUACCAAAUUGUGAAAAGAAGCUUUCGAACUCAUGUGAUAUUCAAAUUGAAAAUUCUUAGUGAGAAGAUAACGAUUAAUCAGUUGUGCAACGAAAAACAUAACAUUAGAACACAUCCAAUGGAGAAAACAAUUACAACAACCUUUCAUUAACUAUGGAUGGAAUACCAGCAGCAAAA
rnacentral:lncRNA from 1 species